AGAAAACAACUAACAAGGUCCCCUAGUAACUGCGAGUGAAGCGGGAAAAGCUCAAAUUUAAAAUCUGGCAGUCUUUGGCUGUCCGAGUUGUAAUCUAGAGAAGUAAUGCCCGUGCUGGACCGUGUAUAAGUCUCCUGGGAUGGAGCGUCAUAGAGGGUGAGAAUCCCGUCUUUGACACGGACUACCAGUGCAUUGUGGUAUGCUCUCAAAGAGUCGAGUUGUUUGGGAAUGCAGCUCAAAAUGGGUGGUAAAUUCCAUCUAAAGCUAAAUAUUGGCGAGAGACCGAUAGCGAACAAGUACCGUGAGGGAAAGAUGAAAAGAACUUUGGAAAGAGAGUUAAACAGUACGUGAAAUUGCUGAAAGGGAAACGCUUGAAGUCAGUCGCGUUGGCCAGGGAUCAGCCUUGCUUUUGCAUGGUGUACUUUCUGGUUGACGGGUCAGCAUCAAUUUUGACCGCUGGAAAAGGGCUGGGGAAUGUGGCAGCUUCGGCUGUGUUAUAGCCCCUGGUCGCAUACAGCGGUUGGGAUUGAGGAACUCAGCACGCCGCAAGGCCGGGUUUCGACCACGUUCGUGCUUAGGAUGCUGGCAUAAUGGCUUUAAGCGACCCGUCUUGAAACACGGACCAAGGAGUCUAACAUGCCUGCGAGUAUUUGGGUGGAAAACCCGAGUGCACAAUGAAAGUGAAAGUUGAGAUCCCUGUCGUGGGGAGCAUCGACGCCCGGACCAGAACUUUUGGGACGGAUCCGCGGUGGAGCAUGUAUGUUGGGACCCGAAAGAUGUGAACUAUGCCUGAAUAGGGUGAAGCCAGAGGAAACUCUGGUGGAGGCUCGUAGCGAUUUGACGUGCAAAUCGAUC
rnacentral:rRNA from 1 species